rnacentral:rRNA from 1 species
UUUGUAUAAUGGGUCAGCGACUUAUAUUCAGUGGCAAGGUUAACCAUCUAGGGGAGCCGUAGGGAAACCGAGUCUUAACUGGGCGUUCAGUCUCUGGAUAUAGACCCGAAACCAGGUGAUCUAGCCAUGGGCAGGUUGAAGGUUGAGUAACAUCAACUGGAGGACCGAACCGACUAAUGUUGAAAAAUUAGCGGAUGACUUGUGGCUAGGGGUGAAAGGCCAAUCAAACCUGGAGAUAGCUGGUUCUCCCCGAAAGCUAUUUAGGUAGCGCCUCGGACGAAUACUACUGGGGGUAGAGCACUGUUAAGGCUAGGGGGUCAUCCCGACUUACCAACCCUUUGCAAACUCCGAAUACCAGUAAGUACUAUCCGGGAGACACACGGCGGGUGCUAACGUCCGUCGUGGAGAGGGAAACAACCCAGACCGCCAGCUAAGGUCCCAAAUUACUACUAAGUGGGAAACGAUGUGGGAAGGCUCAGACAGCCAGGAUGUUGGCUUAGAAGCAGCCAUCAUUUAAAGAAAGCGUAAUAGCUCACUGGUCGAGUCGGCCUGCGCGGAAGAUGUAACGGGGCUAAGUAGUAAACCGAAGCUGCGGCAAUAUACUUUUGUAUAUUGGGUAGGGGAGCGUUCUGUAAGCGGUUGAAGGUGUGUGGUAACGCAUGCUGGACGUAUCAGAAGUGCGAAUGCUGACAUGAGUAACGAUAAAGGGGGUGAAAAACCUCCUCGCCGGAAGACCAAGGGUUCCUGUCCAACGUUAAUCGGGGCAGGGUAAGUCGACCCCUAAGGCGAGGCCGAAAGGCGUAGUCGAUGGGAAACGGGUUAAUAUUCCCGUACUUCUUACAAUUGCGAUGGGGGGACGGAGAAGGCUAGGUGGGCCUGGCGACGGUUGUCCAGGUUCAAGUGCGUAGGCUUAAGAGUUAGGUAAAUCCGGCUCUUUUUAAGGCUGAGACACGACGUCGAGCACCUACGGGUGUGAAGUCAUUGAUGCCAUGCUUCCAGGAAAAGCCUCUAAGCUUCAGAUUGUAAGGAAUCGUACCCCAAACCGACACAGGUGGUCGGGUAGAGAAUACCAAGGCGCUUGAGAGAACUCGGGUGAAGGAACUAGGCAAAAUGGUACCGUAACUUCGGGAGAAGGUACGCUCUCGACGGUGAAGUCCCUUGCGGAUGGAGCUAUUGAGAGUCGCAGAUACCAGGUGGCUGCAACUGUUUAUUAAAAACACAGCACUGUGCAAAAUCGUAAGAUGACGUAUACGGUGUGACGCCUGCCCGGUGCCGGAAGGUUAAUUGAUGGGGUUAGACUUCGGUCGAAGCUCUUGAUCGAAGCCCCGGUAAACGGCGGCCGUAACUAUAACGGUCCUAAGGUAGCGAAAUUCCUUGUCGGGUAAGUUCCGACCUGCACGAAUGGCGUAAUGAUGGCCACGCUGUCUCCACCCGAGACUCAGUGAAAUUGAAAUCGCUGUGAAGAUGCAGUGUACCCGCGGCUAGACGGAAAGACCCCGUGAACCUUUACUACAGCUUGGCACUGAACAUUGACCCUACAUGUGUAGGA